UACGUAGGGGGCAAGCGUUGUCCGGAUUUAUUGGGCGUAAAGAGCUCGUAGGCGGUUCCGUAAGUCAGGUGUGAAAAAUCUGGGCUCAACCCAGUGGAGCACCUGAUACUGCGGUGACUCGAGUCCGGGAGGGGAGUGUGGAAUUCCUGGUGUAGCGGUGGAAUGCGUAGAGAUCCGGAAGAACACCGGUGGCGAAGGCGGUCGACUGGGCCAGUACUGACGCUGAGGCGCGACAGCGUGGGGAGCAAACAGG
rnacentral:rRNA from 1 species